GAUGAACGCUAGCGGCAGGCCUAACACAUGCAAGUCGAACGGUAACAGCAGAGCUUGCUCUGGCUGACGAGUGGCGCACGGGUGCGUAACGCGUAUACAAUCUACCUAUUACAGGGGUAUAGCCUUUAGAAAUGAAGAAUAAUCCCCCAUAGUAUUUUAUUGGCAUCAGAUAGAGAUUAAAGAUUUAUCGGUAAUAGAUGAGUAUGCGUUCUAUUAGCUAGUAGGUGAGGUAACGGCUCACCUAGGCGACGAUAGAUAGGGGCCCUGAGAGGGGGAUCCCCCACACUGGUACUGAGACACGGACCAGACUCCUACGGGAGGCAGCAGUGAGGAAUAUUGGACAAUGGGCGAGAGCCUGAUCCAGCCAUGCCGCGUGCAGGAAGACUGCCCCUAUGGGUUUGUAAACUGCUUUUAUAUAGGAAGAAACCAUUCUACGUGUAGAGUGCUGACGGUACUAUAAGAAUAAGCAUCGGCUAACUCCGU
rnacentral:rRNA from 1 species